GGAUUUCAAAUUCCCUGGAGGUUUAAGUGCUAUUAAAAGUUCUAUUUUGUCAAGGGUAAGUAUUCAAUACUAAUUUAGGGGUUAUUCUUGUUAAGUGCGUAAAUGUCGAAUUGAAGUUUCGAUUUUGGUUUUUUUGUGCUAAAUGGGUUGGUUGUGGUUGUCAUUUUUAGGUACUAAAUUUGUUGUUGUGUUGAUGUCGAAAAUUAGGAAGGUGUGUACCUUUUGUCUCGAAAAAUAACAAACGUGUGAAACUGACAAAUUUACUGUCGACGCCACACGACCGUCUACCAAAUCGUGUGAGUCACACGCUUGUGUGCCAGGCCAUGCUUGUGUGUCAGGCCAUGUGAGCCACACAAGCUAGGUCAAGUAGGCCAUGUGAGUCACACAGGCGUGUGGAUCCAUUUUCAGUAAAAUUCAGUAGAGCUGUGUUUGAUGCGCGCUUUGAGGUUAGCUACUUCGUAAGGUGUACUUUGUGAUAUGUGUGACAUAUAUAUAAAUAAAAUUUGAUAUCCCAUUUUUAUAUGUACGAUUUCUGAAAGCAUGUUAGUAUGUUCUGAUAUGCAUAGCAUGUAUGAUUUGUGUGCAUCUAGAUAUAUGGUUAGUGAUUGCAUGUGCAUUGGAGUGAGAUAAUUAUGUGAUAGAGGAAGUGUUGACAAUUUAAUGAUUUAACCAUAUAUCUAUUCUAGUAGCUUGACUGCAAUUUUGGUGGAUUGACUACACUUAUCUAAUUCUGACAGAUUACCGUAUGGCAAUUUCAAAUUAAAAUAUUUUUAUUUUCAUUCUCUGUCUUCUCCACUCUACUUCUUCAAACCACGUAUAAUUUUCUUUUGUUUAUUUCUUUCCCUAUUUUUCAUGUUCUUUUUUCAUUGUUUCUUUUUGUUUUCUACUGUUCCUCACCCCACCCCCACAAAAUUUUCACAUUCUUCUUUUCUUUUUAUUUUUCUUUAAAUUUGGGGUUUUUCACAUUUUUCUUCCCCACAAUUUUUUUUCUUUUUCCAUUUUUUCUGCUGGGGAGAUAGAAAGGUGACAAAGAGAAAUAAC
rnacentral:lncRNA from 1 species